AUGCUGGGAGCAGAGCCGCCUGCACGAGGAGACGGCAAAGGGCGGGGAGUUCCUGAAGCAGAUUACGUCCCCGAGAGCUCGUGCAGCCAGUGGGUCUUGGGAAAGGGUCUGUGGACGUCAGGUCCGAGUAUGGGGCUGCGUUUCCCCGAUCCUCGCACCCCUGGUGCCACCCCCAGCCUGCACUGGCCUGCCCGUCCUGGGCGUGCAGCUGCUCAGGCCCCUCCGUGCCCCGCAGAGUGCCAGAUGAUGGUCCUGCUGGACCUGACGCGGUCCUACAAGAGCAUGCGGCGGCAGGCGGAGCGCUCGGAGAACAAGAGGUGCCUGGGCCCCUGCACCGGCCUGGGCCGGCCGCCUGCCUCCACUCCCGGUGCCGGGGGGCCAGGACUGAUGGGUGUGCUCCAGGGGCUGUGGGGGCCAGAGUGUCCCUGCACCCCCGGGCAGAGCCCUGGAAUCCGCCCCCGACCCCUUCCCUGGAAGAGCCGGGGGCGGGGGUGCAGUGGGAGGGGAGGGCAGCUCCAGCAGCAGAGCACAGGCCGGCCUGUCCUCCCGAGGCCGCUGGGACUGGGCCAGGGGACAGAGGGCCGGCCGCCGGGGGGGUGCCCUGGCUUCAGAGCGCCCCACGUCUCGUGCACCCCAGGCCUGUGUGGGCUCCCAAGGUGGCAGAGCAGGGGCCUGUCUCAUGACGGAUGCUUUGCGUCCCGGCUCCCCCGAAAGGCUGGGAGUGGCCCCGAGGGAUUGGGCGGCGCCCCGGGUCGCCCUCUUAUUGGACGACAUGGGGGGGGGCGGGGGGCGGGAGGGUGUUCUGAUUCCUUCGCGAACCCCAAGAGCUUCCGUCCACUACCCGGUGCUAUCUGGUCUGAGGGCUGGGCGGCUCGGGCCGUCCCACUGGAGCUCCAUCCCCCGCAGCGUGGCCCAGCUGUGCUUGGAGGACCCCAUCGAGACCGCCGUGCUCCUGAGUCUGGCGGGGGUCAGGAGCAUCCUGGCAAACCAGUGGCCGACGCUCCUGCGGGACAACGCGCUGCGGGCCAGCGUCCUGUGGGAAAAUCUGUUGGCGCUUGGCAAGCCGAUCGGGAGAGCAGCGCGCGUCCUUCAGAAGAUGGGAGCUGGUGACGUGAGUAGCCACG
rnacentral:lncRNA from 1 species